rnacentral:rRNA from 1 species
GCGGAGGAAAAGGAAUUAACAAAGAUUCCCUCAGUAACGGCGAGUGAAGUGGGAUUUAGCCCAGCACCGAAUCCUAGCGGCCCCAUGUGUCGUGCGGACCUGUGGUGUUCGGGGCCCCGACUUUUGCCUCGCUUCGAUGCGCCUCAGUUUCAUUGAAAGGGCUGUUGCUCCAGAGCGGGUGUCAGACCCUUGUGUAGCGCACGAGCUGGCGAAGGUUCUUGGUGGCCCCAAGAGUCGGGUUGUUUGAGAGUGCAGCCCAAAGACGGUGGUAAGCUCCAUCGAAGGCUAAACAUUACCACGAGUCCGAUAGCGAACAAGUACCGUGAGGGAACGUUGAAAAGGACUUCGAAGAGAGAGUUCAAGAGUACGUGAAACCGCUUAAAGGGAAACGAGUGGCUCCGCAUUGUCGGCCUGCGGUGUUCAUCUCGCUCGCCGGGCGUCCGGUCGUUCGAUUGUCUUGCCCCGCGCUCGACGUCGGUUCGAUGCAGGUUGUCGCCUGGUGGGCGUGUGCAUUUGCCGCUAGGCAGGGCGUCACGAUCGCUUCUGUUCAGCGCGCGACCGUCGGCGGUGCCGGCGCGAGCGACCCGUCUCCUCGUGUGACGAUCGACUCGCGCGGCCUGCCGUCCCGCGUGCUCGGGAGCGUGUAACGAUCGGCUCGAUUUCGUCGCGCGCGAUCUCCGUCGUCGGAGCGAACCAUCGGAUCGUACCUCGUGUUCGACCGUACGGCGGCUCUGGCGCGGAGUAAAGUGCGCGGCGUGCAGGGCCUUGCAUCGGUGGCGAUUGA